rnacentral:lncRNA from 1 species
AAUAAUUAAACUAAUAAUUAAUAAAUAAUAAUUCAAUUAAAGGAAAAGAUAUUACAAUUUAAAUUGCCUUGUGAUGAGUCUUCUAAAAAAAGUUAAGUUUCGCAAAUCAAUUGCCCUUGAAAGUUACACUAGUAAAUAAGUUUGUAUUCUACAUAAAAUUAAUUAUAUCAAUUAAUACAUGAAAUUAUCUAAAUUAUUUUUCAUCAAUUAUACUCCAACAUAUACAUAGUAAUAUUUUUGAAACGAUUUUUAAAUGUGUACAUUUUUAUACUCAACUAAAUUAGAGAUAUGAAUAUAAUAUUUUAUUGUAUAUUAGUAGUCCAAUCUAUCCGCACCAGCAAAUAAUAAUGGACUUCACAUUACCAAACAUAUGUUUGAAAGUGCUUAACAAGGCAGUGCAUCGAAGUGAUCGUUGUGGUAUUUUUCAGCAAAUAAAAUUUUUUCAAAUUUAUAAAACAUCUCACAGAAGUAAAUUACAAAUCUCUGCAGUCUUCGAGGCUAACGCUAAUGUAAACGCAUUCAAUUUAGCCUAACCAGUUUCUUCCAGUUAACGAUAUACUUCUUCUCCGCACUCAGAAUUAAGAGCCAAAAAAUUUUAAUGGAAACCUAUCUAUUGAUAUGUUAAUCUACGAAGUGAGUUAUCUAAUAAGAAGUUCUCUUGUACCACUUAAGUUGUGUUAUGGUAAUAGUAAUUAUUUCACCUCGCGAUUUUACACGAGGACUGGAAAUAAAGUUACAAUAUAGUUCUACAUAACGGCCUUCAUGUUAACACGAUCUUUAGUCUUCUCGUGCUUGUUUAUUCUUAUUAUUGUGUUCAUAACUUAUGUAUGUAACACAUACAUUACAGUUUAGAGAUUUUCCUUGGUACUUGUAAACUGAUGGAAAUCUUUUUUACUUCCAAUGGAAAAAAUAUUGAAAUAGCACGCAGUAGCAGCAACGGUCCCACCCUGUAUUUAAGUUUAGCCAAAAUUCUAUUUCAGUACGAGUAGCCUUAUGAACUGUUUAAAAAGCAAUGUUGCCAAAAUGUUAAAAAAUAAAUAUUUUUUUCGAAAAAAAUAAAAAUAAAAAUGGCCCAAAAACACAAGUUAACAUUAUUUCUACUACUAAUUACUUACAUAUACUACGACUACUAUUUAUUAUUAUCGUACUAUUUUUAUGAAUGCAAUAUAUUGAGAUAAUGCAUUUUAGUGCAACUUAAAAUAAGCGAAUUUUUCAUUAAAAUUUAUAAAAUAUAUGCAAUAAAGGCAAAUGCAAAAAUCUAAGCAUAAAUGAAAUGAAAAGCACUAAACUUUUCAUAUUAAACUAUAUAUGUAUAUACAUAUAUAUAUUAAACAUGUCUAAACUUUAGAAAAUAAAUGUAAAAUAUAAACCGAAACUGAAAACAUAAGCGAUAAAGGUAAAUAAAAGCCACUAAGUACAUUAAACAAAAAAUGAACACACACAAAUAACUGUAUUUGCUUAACCAUGCAAAAGCGGAGCGAAGUUAUUAUAUACAUGCAAACAUACAUAUGUAAAAAAGAAUAUUUUCACUGUGCAAGUCUUAAAGUUAAACCAUAAUUUUUAAAACACAACAACAAAAAUAUAUUGUAUACAUGCUAAAUAUUAUAAGCGUAAAGUAUUUAAACUCAUCUACUAUAUACUUAUACAUACUAUUCGUAAUUUAAGCGGUUGGUGAAUUUAUCAAUUCAAUUUAAACUCAAUUGAAAGCAGCUAUAAAUAUUUAUAGUAUACUUAUGUACAUACAUAUGUGAAGAAAUAUAUAUACAUAUACACAUGUGGUAGAUAAUGCAUACAAAGCUAUUACAAUGAUGAUAUUUAUACAAAAAUUUAACGGUAUAACUAAAUCUUUAUCUCGAUGGUGUUUCUCGUAAGCUUUUGACUCUCUACACCCACAUACACACACCCUUAGGUUAUACUUACCACACUUAUACGUUAAAAUUGUAAGUCACAUUGACACCCAUAACAAGAACACCCACACGCCCAACCACAAAUGUUGUAAAUUCUAAGCCAGUCACAUAAAUUGCUGUCUUAAUCCAGAUACUUAAAGUUUUGUAUUUUUGAACUCUUUCACAACUCUUUAACAAUAAGCUAUAAUAAAAAUUAAAACGUAAAAAUAAUAAAAAUAACAUGCUUGAAUACAA